rnacentral:lncRNA from 1 species
AGACAAUGGAGUUCAGUCAUUGGAAUGUUCUCUCAUUUCUGAAUAGCCCUAUUGAGUCAUGUCUGAGCUUUGGGUUCCUGGAUACUCAUCCCAACCUCACCUUCCUGUGUGGGUUGUGUUUGCUCCUUCUGUUCCUGUGCUACCUGGUGGGGAUUCCAUCUUUACGAACCUUCUGGAAAACCAAAGAUUUCCAAAAGCAAAGGGAAACCAAAGGAGCUGCACAAGCACCAGCAGCUUCUAUAUCCUAAGACCUCAGAGGACCAUCUACAGCAAAAACAUGUCCAGCUCUCCUGGGAUCUCGUCUCUGCACAGCAAGUCCUCGCCCUCUGCUGACCAUGUCUCAGGUGACUGUUCCUCAAUCUUUAUUUUCAACAGAAUCUCGAAUUCCUCCAUGGACCAAGAAUCCCCAGUACUUCCUCAUCCCUUACCUCUGUCCUUGCCUGAGAUCCAGCCUCAAGCCUUGCCUCAAACCCUGCCCCAAUCCAAGCCCCUACCUUUCACUCAGGUCCAGCCCCAGGCCCACCUUCAAUCCCCACUCCCAAUCCUACCAUUGGUCCUCUGCCUCAGAUUAGGAUCUGUGGAGUGUGUUUCCAGAAUGAAUUGGAGUCUCUCAUUUCAUCUGAAAUUCAAUACCUGGAAUGGAACGUGUUGCAGAAGCAACAGGAAAGUCCGUGGGGUUCACCCUCUGUGGUCCAAAGAUCUCAGGAAGACUUUUGUCCUUCAGCUCCCAACUCUCCUUACCAAUGGGCGUUCCAGGCCCAUAUUUCAAUCUCCAUCCUUCUUGCAGUUUUCUCUUAGUGAUGAGGUUUGAGAGAAACUAGAGGACCACCUUUGAAAGAGGCUCAUCCAACACCUGUGGGGCCUGUCCUGAAGGGUCCACGAGUGUCUGUCACUGAUUAUGACUCUGAGCAAUUUUCCAGAGACACCUGAGUCAGAGGGAAAUAAUGGACUCUCAUGGGUUUCUGUGAACAAAAAUCUAAAUGUUGGAUUGAGCCAUCCUGGAAGCUUCUAUGAGAGGAGCUCAUAAAUGCUUGGAUCAGUGACAUAGCCCACAAAAUGGGCCAAAAGAUCAUCUGUUGAGGGACCCAGAGAGCUCUUCAGAUAAGGAUCCAGGGUAUGACUCUGAGAGAGAUCUACAUAGUCACAUGCCAAGUCUGUUGGAAAAAAAUUCAAGGGCCUCAGGGGCAGUCUAGGUUAGAAACAAAUAGAAAAUGUCCUGAAAGUACAUUUGGGCAAGGAGUUUGAGGAAAUCAAUGAGGGUUGGCUCCCUGGGACUGUGCGGAGUUCAUGGCAUGCUGUCAAGCAGACAUUGCUGCUGUCUGCAAAAUCCUACACCCAGAAAACACAGAGAAGUUUGCCACCAUCAGUGGGUGAGGAUGACUCCCUGGAUACCUUCCAGGAGCUUUUCUUCAUUGAUUCCAGUGCAUGACAGAUGCUGCAAGCCCAUAUUAAAAGGUUUCAUAUGAGGAUGCUGUGGGGCCUUCCCUGCAGGGUCCUUGAAUCCAUAGAGAUCUUUAAUUUGAAAGAUGCAGCAUCCCAGUCCUUGUCCCAUCCCCACCUUCCCUCCUCGGCCAACCUGAUUUCUGAGGUGGACUCCAAAUCUUGGGCCUUCAAGACCUUUGUAGGAAGCUCCAAAUCUCUUCACAGAUACAAAAUGGGAACAAGAAAUUCAGCCCCUGUCCUGGAUCAUCAUCUCCUGACCAGCUCACCUGUGGGCAAGGAAGGGCAGGGGACCCCGAGAUGAUCACCCUUUCAUAUCAACAAUAAGUUUGCAGAGGAUAUUCGGAGAACUAAGGGUGCCAGACAGACUCUUCUGCCUGUCACACAUGACAUCACAGACAAAGCAAGUCAGAGACAGACUCUACUAGGCCACAUACACCCCCCCCAAAGCUGCCUGCAGGGAAAGCUGGGGCCAGACAUGAGCCAAAGAGGAAGAGUGUGAGUUCCAGGGGUGGAGUAGAAACACAACAAGGCAAAGACAGAGAAGAGGUCAGAACCUUUCUCCAAGGUCAACGUGUCCAGGGAGAUAUUCAGGGCAGAGGAGCUUGAUGCUUUUCAAUCAAAAACUGGUAACAUCUUGACAAUCAGCAAGCCAGGAAGCCCCCAAAUGGUAAAUGUGAAUCAGAGUAUAGUAGAAACUACUGGGACCACUGAAAGCCCCCCGCCAAAAGGACUAAUUCCCCUAGACUCUGAGUCAUCAGUCCUUAAAGAACAGCUGUUUGGUGAGUUAAAGUCUAAACUGGACAGGAGGGAGCAGAGCUACGCCCAAGGUCAACCCACUGACGCUCCCCUGCCUCAGAGAGCUUGACUUACAAGGCCUCACUGACUCAUGCCCAGGGUGUCUCCACUGGGGACAUGGGAGCUUCCCAGGUGCUGCAUGUCCAUUUGGAGGACAGAGGAAUCAGCACGGAGCAGCAGCAGGAGCCUUGGGUCCCUAAGAAAGUCUUAAGGAGGUGCCAGGAUAAGAAUUUCCCACCAGCUGCAAAGAGAGCAAGCCCUCCAGGCCCCAAACCAGAAGGUCUUGGUGGAGGGGAUGCAGGGUUGCAGACAUUCCAACCUAGAAGGAAGAGUUUCCCUACUCAGGAUAAGGCAUUAGAGGAGAUGUUUGAGAGCAAGUCUUCCCAGACCCCAUUACAAAAGGGACAGCCUCCUCCUGAAAACCUUUGCAGAAAAAAAAAAUGAAGCACUUUUUGUAAUGGCUUCAUCCUGAGACAAAACGCAAAAGGCAAGAAAAUUCCCAGGAAAAGGGCAGCUCUAUAUUAUCUGCACAGAGCAGAGGCCUAGUUAAAAGAAGAGCUGCCCUUACUGAGACGAGCACAGCUCAGAAGACCAUGACAGUCCCUGGGAAGUUCCCAGAGCAGGAACUGGAGCGUCGAUGUGCAACAGAUGCCACCUGGCCUCAAGAGCCCCUCCCCUCCCUGAGGAAGUUUGGGAAAACUCAGCAGAAGGCAGAAGUGCAGGCCCAGACAGAGCCCAUCCAGGGGCAUCCUUCCAACUACAGGGCUCCCUCCUGUAAAGUGACAAACACCAAGUCCUGCCACCAAGAAGCUGUCUUUGCUGGCCAGAGUGAUCCUACAAGUAUUAGAUGGAUCAGAGACAAGGACAGACACCCCCAGAAAGUUGUGGCCUUUAGGGACCAGCUAUUGGAUUAUCUGUGCCCCGCAGGGAGCCUGUCCCUGUCCAAGCCCCACCUACAGGGGUCAAGCCAGCCAGGGGCCUCCGACUGCUCUCACCACUGUUGAAGGCAGUUUCAACAGAAAAUGCUUCUCCAGAAUUUCCAGAGGAAAAUUUUCUACCCCCAAAUAAUUCCUUCCUUGUGCAGUAUAUUGAUUCUCUCCAGUAAAUGAUUCUCUAAUAAUAGAGAA